rnacentral:rRNA from 1 species
UAGGGAAUCUUCCACAAUGGGCGCAAGCCUGAUGGAGCAACACCGCGUGAGUGAAGAAGGGUUUCGGCUCGUAAAGCUCUGUUGUUGGAGAAGAACGUGCGUGAGAGUAACUGUUCACGCAGUGACGGUAUCCAACCAGAAAGUCACGGCUAACUACGUGCCAGCAGCCGCGGUAAUACGUAGGUGGCAAGCGUUAUCCGGAUUUAUUGGGCGUAAAGCGAGCGCAGGCGGUUGCUUAGGUCUGAUGUGAAAGCCUUCGGCUUAACCGAAGAAGUGCAUUGGAAACCGGGCGACUUGAGUGCAGAAGAGGACAGUGGAACUCCAUGUGUAGCGGUGAAAUGCGUAGAUAUAUGGAAGAACACCAGUGGCGAAGGCGGCUGUCUGGUCUGCAACUGACGCUGAGGCUCGAAAGCAUGGGUAGCGAACAGGAUUAGAUACCCUGGUAGUCCAUGCCGUAAACGAUGAGUGCUAGGUGUUGGAGGGUUUCCGCCCUUCAGUGCCGGAGCUAACGCAUUAAGCACUCCGCCUGGGGAGUACGACCGCAAGGUUG